rnacentral:rRNA from 1 species
UGUACUUUUGACAUGCGAUGUGCCAAGAAAUUUUGGUACUGCAGCUAGAAGUGCUGUGAGCAGGGUAACACUUGCAGUCAUUMCUAUCGACUGUGCGGUGUGAUGGCUUGUGGCAUUUAUAGUUUGUGGUUCCAAGAAGGGCAGCUAGUUCUACGCUGGAGCAAUUUGUGCCACUCGUGUAGGCACAUUGGCUGUUAGAGUGGGUGGGUAGUGUUUGGGACUGCAUUGCAGUGUCAAGCAUUUCCCGUUCACUUCAGGCAGCUUCGCUUCGCAAGAGCAUUGUAUCCAAUUGCUGUUCAGUGGCCAGCUGGUAACUCACCAGUCCCGUCUUGAAACACGGACCAAGGAUUUCAGCAUGCAGGCGAGUCUUAGGGUUCUGCAAAACCCGAAGGCGCAGUGAAAGCGAAGGAUGCCCAGUGCAUCUAAGAUGCGAUCCGAGAUUUAGCGAGAGCUAACUCGGCGCAGCAUCGUCUCGUCGUAUCCUCGCGCGGGAGCGGCGAAGAUUAAGCCUGCACGCUGUGACCCGAAAGAUGGUGAACUAUGCCAGAGGAGGACGAAGCCAGAGGAAACUCUGGUGGAGGUCCGAAUCGAUUCUAACGUGCAAAUUGAUCGUAAGACUUUGGUAUAGCGGCGAAAGACUAAUCGAACCAUCUAGUAGCUGGUUCCCUCCGAAGUUUCUCUCAGGAUAGCUGGUACUCGCUUCAGAUUUUCACCCGGUAAAGCGAAUGAUUAGAGUGAUC